rnacentral:misc_RNA from 1 species
GAUGAAGAACGUAGCGAAAUGCGAUAAGUAAUGUGAAUUGCAGAAUUCAGUGAAUCAUCGAAUCUUUGAACGCACAUUGCGCCCCUUGGUAUUCCAUGGGGCAUGCCUGUUCGAGCGUCAUUUGUACCCUCAAGCUCUGCUUGGUGUUGGGUGUUUGUCCACUCCCUGGUGUCUGGACUCGCCUUAAAGCAAUUGGCAGCCAGUGUUUUGGUAUUGAAGCGCAGCACAUUUUGCGUCUCCAGCCUAGAACGCUUGCGUCCAGUAAGCCUUUUUCCACUUUUGACCUCGGAUCAGGUAGGGAUACCCGCUGAACUUAAGCAUAUCAAUAAGCGGAGGA